UACGGAGGGGACUAGCGUUGUUCGGAAUUACUGGGCGUAAAGCGCGCGUAGGCGGAUUUGCAAGUCGGGGGUGAAAGCCCGAGGCUCAACCUCGGAACUGCCUUCGAUACUGCAAAUCUCGAGUCCGAGAGAGGUGAGUGGAAUUCCUAGUGUAGAGGUGAAAUUCGUAGAUAUUAGGAAGAACACCAGUGGCGAAGGCGGCUCACUGGCUCGGUACUGACGCUGAGGCGCGAAAGCGUGGGGGGCAAACAGG
rnacentral:rRNA from 1 species